CUAGCCUGGGACCCUCCAUAUGCUGUAGGUGUGGCCCUAAAAAAGAGAGAAAGACAAAAAAAAUAAUAAUAUGUAGUGUGUGAAAUGUCCAGAACAGGGAAGAUAGGAGGCAGGAAGUAGAUCAGUGAUUGCUUAGAACUGGGGGUGUGGGGAAGAAAGAAUAGGAAGAUGAGAGAUAAAGGGUACAGGGUUUCUUCCUUUUAAAAAAUCUUCAUCUUUUAACCCCCUUCACCCAUUUUUCCCACAUCCUACCUCCUGCCUCUGUCAACCACCAGUCCAUUCUCUGUAUAUGUAAGUUUUGUUGUUGUUGUUGUUGUUUUUAAAGAUUCUACAUGUAGGAGAGAUCACACUCUAAUUUGUCUUCCUCAAUCUGACUUAUUUCACUUAGCAUAAUGCCCUCGAGUCCCAUCAUGUUUCUGCAAAUGGCAAGGUUUCAUUCUAUUUUCUGGCUGAAUAAUAUUCUAUUGGAGAUAUAUAAACCACAAUUUCUUUAUCCAUUUAUCUGUCGAUGGAUGCUUAGAUUGUUUCCAGUAUCUUGGCUAUUGUAAAUAAAUGCUGCAGUGAACAGGGAGGUGCAUAUAUCCUUUGGAGGUGAUUUUGUUUUCUUUGGAUAAACACCCAGAAGUGGAAUUGCUGGAUCAUACGUAGUUGUAGUUGUAGUUGUAGUUUUUUGAGGAUCCUCCAUACUGUUCUCCAUUGUGGCUGCACCAACCCAUUCCCACCAAUAGUGCACAAGCGUUCCCUUUUCUCUACAUCCUCACCCACACUUGUUAUUUUUUUGUCUUUUUGAUAAUAGACAUUCGUACAGGUGUGAGGGGUGGUAGCUGUCUUAAACACCGGGACAAGAAAGAUUUUAAAGCCAAACAUGGGCUUCAUGAGUGAUGUGUGAUGAUUGAUCAGCAACGUCUGCCAUGGAUGAAGACUGAGGCAGUGGAAAUGCAAGUACUGACCUGCAUCAGUGCUACUCAAAGUGUGAUUUGCAGGUGGAUGUAGGCCUACAGAUAUUUGUUUCCCAUGAAGAAAUCAGUAUAGAAAGGGUGAGUUAGCAUUUUGAAACUUUUAUAGCAAUUUGAUAAUUCCUGUAUUUUACUAAAUAUUGAUCUGUGAUGGAUUGGAAAUAAAAUUAAAAUCUGGCCCUUUACCAGAGAUAGUUUGAGAAGCACUGAUCUGGAGCACUGUAUGUGACCCCAUUACUUCCUGUAAAAGACUUUGAAGUGCCCUGGACUUGGAAAUCAUAUGAAUGCAGCCAAAGUCCUAUACAUGUCAUCAUUUAGAUGGACUUGUUGAUUGAGCACAGGUCUUUGCCAGCUUUCUUCCUCUUGCCAGGCAAAAGGAUUAAGGUAAUAACUACUCAGAGAUUGCUAGAAAUGUCUUCCUGGCCUUCUCCACUCAUUUAUACUUUCCAUUUAUUCCAUUCCAGGAAAGCCUUCACUCAUAUUGCUUUCUUCCAGUGGAGAGUCAGAGUGAGGCCAGCAAGGUGGUUAUGUCAUGGAACAGCCUGGAGCUGAUGACAAAGUAAAGUCCAGCAUCAGCUGCUGAACUAGCCUGGGUGGCCACUGAGGUCAAACAUGAACUCAUCCAUUCUUUUGCCCAUUCAUGCCUCCUUUCUCCUUCAUUCUGUCCUUCAGCAACUCCACGUGCAAUGCCAACUAUGAGCAUCAAAGUUCCAGGUCCUGGAGAUACAGUGGUGACCAAGACAGAUAAAUUCUCUGCUUUCAUGAAACUGACAGUUCAGGAGGGGAGACCAAUAUUAAAUCAAUAAUGUGAUGAGUGGUGAUACAAGUCCUGAUUCCAUAACUAACAACAUUCAGCACAAGUGUUGAAAGGAUUUUGGGAUGUAAAUAUGAUCCCUUCAUCUUGUACACGAGGAAACAGAGGCCCCAGGAGGAGAAGGGACUGUGGACUGAAAAACAAUGCACAACCUAAAAGCGGAGAAUUACGCUUAAUUUGGCCAACUUUCUGAGGACUUCAAGCCUGGGAGGCAACCUCUCAGAUAGCUCUGACUGACUGUUCUGAAGAGGUAAAGGAGGAGGCAGGAUAUAUUGGAGAUUUUGCAGCAAGGACCAUGUAGUUAGAACAUCAAAAGAUUACUGCUAAUUGAAGAAGAUCAAACAUCUAGUGCUUUCCUAAGCAUGGGAAGAUGCAAAAGUCUGGGCUCACUGAAAUCAUUCCUUUGAUAUGCAUCUCAGCUCUCUGGGGUCAAUAUCCUCUUCUUUCCCAUUGUGUGUCCCCCUCAGGGCGCACUGUUGAAGGUGGCUGCAGUGGCUAAGGGCUUAGCAGUGGGCAGCCCAUUAGUUGCCAUCCUGAGUUCCUCAGGGCUCACCAUAGGGGGCGACUCUAGUGGCCUGGCAGCUGCAAUAUUCCUUGUUUACCCAGGUGACAGACAACAUUUUUCAUCCACAGGAUCAUCUGACCCAGUUCAAAAUAGUCAGUCUGGUUCCAUGUGCAUCCUAGAAGUAGUCCUGGCUGGCAGUGGUUCCCCUGAUUCUUGCUCUGCAGAAUCCUCAGAUCCUAACAGAGGCCCAUCUCUGGCUUCCUGGGUAGGCUUCUCACCACCAGUGUUCCCUGUUCCUGAGAAUCUAGCCCUGUGAGGUAGGCUCUGCUGCAGACCUUAUAGAAAAACAGAGAUUUUUAAGCAACUUGGAGGGGGCACAUUAAGGACAUUGCUGCUAGGUGACAAAGCUGGCUGAUGUUGCUAAGGAGGAGAGGCCCCAUGGAGGGAGAUCCCAGCCACCCAGCCCAAAACGCACACGUACAGACUGCUGUGCUAAGCACCAGGAUAUAGCAGUGAAGUAGACACUGCUCUUGAGGCUCAAAGGCCCACUGAAUAAGGAUUUAUAACUGAACUACAUUAGAAGAUAAGUCCAGGGUGCUGGGCAAACAUGUACCAGGAGACCUGAACUUCAUCUGGAAGGUCACGGAAGGCCUUGCUGGGGAAGUUCCAUUCAAGCUCAAGCCUGGAAGAUAAACCUAAAAGACCCAAGUGUGCCAGUAAACAACCUCAUGAAAAGUGGUGUCCAAACCUCAGCUUUCUUUCCCAGCACUAGCCUGGAAGGUGAGAUUGAAGGUAUUACAGGGAGGCAGAGUGAAGGAGAGAGGAAGAAAAACGCAUUUAUUUGUAUGAAUGGGAAAAUGAAACAGAAAGGCGGCAAGUGCUUUUUUCAGCCAGGGAAGACAAUGGGUCCUGACAAGUGUGUUCUCUUUCAUGCAGAACGAGCUUAGGGGCACUUCUCACCAGGUGAGGCCAGAAGGCUCCCAUGAAACCAAAGGAGACUCAGUAGAGCAUGAAGAGGGUCAGGUACCCUAAUGGGAUGACAUUCUGGUGGCCUGGUGUGGUGGGUGGAGCUGUCUGGACUUGCUACCCUAUGGUUCCUGUUAAAAUGAGGUCUUAGAGCCAGCUUCCAAGAGGGCCUUGAGAGGAAGCAGACAAAGACCCCUGCUGUACCAACAAUAGAAACAAAAUGCUGAAGGAGGUGGGGAGCAUGCUUGCUUCAGCAGCACAUAUAUUAAAGUUGGAAUGCUACAGAGAUGAUUAGCAUGGCCUAUCCAAGGAUGACACACAAAUUUGUGAUGCCUUCCAUAUUUUUUUAACACCCCACUUUCAGCAAUGGAAAGAUCAUCCAGACAGAUAAUCAAUAAACACAGUCCUUAAAUGACACAAAAGACCAGACAGACUUAAUUGAUAAUUAUGGAACAUUUCAUCUGAAAGCAGCAGAAUACACUUUCUUUUCUAGUGCACAUGGAGCAUUCUCCAGGAUAGGUCACAUCUUGGGCAACAAAUCAAGCAUCAGUAAACUUAAGAAAAUUGAAAUCAUAUCAAGCAUCUUUUCCAACCACAACACUAUAAGACUAGAAACCAACUGCAAAAAAAAAAAAAAAGAAACCCAUGGAGGC